UCUGGUCGUCCGAGUUGUAGUCUGGAGAAGUGUUUUCCGUGUUGGACCGUGUAUAAGUCCCUUGGAACAGGGCGUCAUAGAGGGUGAGAAUCCCGUCUUUGACACGGACUACCAAUGCUUUGUGAUGCGCUCUCAAAGAGUCGAGUUGUUUGGGAAUGCAGCUCAAAAUGGGUGGUAAAUUCCAUCUAAAGCUAAAUAUAGGCGAGAGACCGAUAGCGAACAAGUACCGUGAGGGAAAGAUGAAAAGCACUUUGGAAAGAGAGUUAAACAGUACGUGAAAUUGCUGAAAGGGAAACGCUUGAAGUCAGUCAUGUCUGCCAGGACUCAGCCUUGCUUCUGCUCGGUGUACUUUCUGGUUGGAUGGGCCAGCAUCAAUUUUGACCGUUGGAGAAAGGCUUUGGGAACGUGGCACCUUUGGGUGUGUUAUAGCCCUUUGUCGUAUACGACGGUUGGGAUUGAGGACUGCAGCAUGCCUUUAUGGUCGGGGUUCUGCCCACGUAUGUGCUUAGGAUGCUGGCAUAAUGGCUUUAAGCGACCCGUCUUGAAACACGGACCAAGGAGUCUAACAUGCCUGCAAGUGUUUGGGUGGAAAACCCAUGCGCGUAAUGAAAGUGACAGCUGAGAUCCUCUCAUCAGGAGCAUCAGCGCCUGGACUUGAUCUACGGAGACGGUUCUACGGUAGAGCAUGUAUGUUGGGACCCGAAAGAUGGUGAACUAUGCCUGAAUAGGGUGAAGCCAGAGGAAACU
rnacentral:rRNA from 1 species